AGUACCAGGCCUAUAAGUGAUGAUGUAAUUGAAAUGAGAAAGACAUAAAGACCAUCUAGCCUGUCUGGAUGACAUUCUUUUAGCAUCCCCUGUAUAUUCCAGGUUUUUAUGAUCAGUUAUGAUGGGGUCUUUGGAUCCUUCCACUAGAUGUCUCCACUCUUUAAGUGUCAAUAUGAUAGCCAAUAGCUCUCUGUUACCUAUGUCAUAAUUUCUUUC